rnacentral:pre_miRNA from 1 species
AUCAUACUCUUUUCGUUCGGAAAUACUUGUCGGAGAAAUAUAUGUAUCUAGACGUUUAGUUCUAGAUACAUUCAUUUUUAUCCAUUUAUGUGACAAGUAAUUCCAGACGAAGGGAGCAUUUU